GAAUAUUGGCCAUUGGGGGGAACCCUGAUCCAGCCCUGCCGCGUGUGUGAAGAAGGCCUUUUGUUUGUAAAGCCUUUUAAGCGAGGGGGAGGCUACUCUAUUUAAUACCUAGGGAUAGUGGCGGUUACUAGCAGAAUAAGCACCGACCAACCCGGUGCCAGCGGCCGAGGUAAUACAGAGGGUGCAAGCGUUAAUCGGAUUUACUGGGCGUAAAGCGCGCGUAGGUGGCCAAUUAAGUCAAAUGUGAAAUCCCCGAGCUUAACUUGGGAAUUGCAUUAGAUACUGGUUGGCUAGAGUAUGGGAGAGGAUGGUAGAAUUCCAGGUGUAGCGGUGAAAUGCGUAGAGAUCUGGAGGAAUACCGAUGGCGAAGGCAGCCAUCUGGCCUAAUACUGACACUGAGGUGCGAAAGCAUGGGGAGCAAACA
rnacentral:rRNA from 1 species